rnacentral:rRNA from 1 species
AACGAACGCUGGCGGCGUGGAUAAGACAUGCAAGUCGAACGGGAACUUCAGCUGUAGCAAUACAGUUGAAGUUUUAGUGGCGAACGGGUGCGUAACACGUGGGCAAUCUGCCCGAGAAGGUGGGGGAUAGCUCGCCGAAAGGCGAAUUAAUACCGCAUAUGAUCAGCUAAGACAUCUUAGCGACAUCAAAGCCGGGGCAACCUGGCGCUUUUUUGAGGAGCCCGCGGCCUAUCAGCUAGUUGGUGAGGUAACGGCUCACCAAGGCUAUGACGGGUAGCUGGUCUGAGAGGACGACCAGUCACACUGGAACUGAGACACGGUCCAGACACCGUACGGGUGCAGCAGUCGAGUAAUUUUUCNCAAUGGGGCAACCCUGAAGGAGCGACGCCGCGUGGAGGAU